rnacentral:rRNA from 1 species
CAGUCGCCGCGGUAAUACAGAGGGUGCAAGCGUUAAUCGGAAUUACUGGGCGUAAAGCGCGCGUAGGUGGUUUGUUAAGUUGGAUGUGAAAUCCCUGAGCUUAACUUAGGAAUUGCAUUCGAUACUGGGAAGCUAGAGUAUGGGAGAGGAUGGUAGAAUUCCAGGUGUAGCGGUGAAAUGCGUAGAGAUCUGGAGGAAUACCGAUGGCGAAGGCAGCCAUCUGGCCUAAUACUGACGCUGAGGUACGAAAGCAUGGGGAGCAAACAGGAUUAGAUACCCCGGUAGUCCCUGUCUCUUAUAA